rnacentral:rRNA from 1 species
AACGCCAAGAACCUUACCAAGGCUUGACAUGAACAGGAAAGGCGUAGAAAUACGUCCCCCACUUGUGGUCGGUUUACAGGUGGUGCAUGGUUGUCGUCAGCUCGUGUCGUGAGAUGUUGGGUUAAGUCCCGCAACGAGCGCAACCCUCGUUCUAUGUUGCCAGCACGUGAUGGUGGGGACUCAUAGGAGACUGCCGGGGUCAACUCGGAGGAAGGUGGGGAUGACGUCAAAUCAUCAUGCCCCUUAUGUCUUGGGCUUCACGCAUGCUACAAUGGCCGGUACAAAGGGUUGCGAUACUGUGAGGUGGAGCUAAUCCCAAAAAGCCGGUCUCAGUUCGGAUUGGGGUCUGCAACUCGACCCCAUGAAGUCGGAGUCGCUAGUAAUCGCAGAUCAGCAACGCUGCGGUGAAUACGUUCCCGGGCCUUGUACACACC